AUGUGUUUUCUUCAGUUGCAGCACCUUGAGCUCUCUCAGCCACAGUAGUGAUGGCACAUGGGGGGGUUCUCAAAUGAGGGGGCAAACUCCACUCCGUUCGAGUAUGGGGUCUCUGCAGAACAAAAGUGGGCGUUUCUAUAUUUGUGGGUGUUUACAAACUGGUGGGUGUUUAUAAAUCAUGCAAUGAAAAUGAUCCCUUUCACCUGACCCAACCCCACCCCUAAACCCUACCCUCACUGUGACGUGGGUAACACAGGUAACACGUUAAAAAACGCCCCUCUGUUUGAUCUGAUAACUCCUAUUACUUCUGCUGAGACGCAUACUUGCUCCGUUCUCUCUCUUGCCUCCCCUGAUUGGCCUGCUACACAUAUAUGCGUUUACUGUGUUUUCAAGAUUAAGGAUCUUUAAAGAAAGCCGCAUACAAUUUAACAGAAUAAUUGACGGAAUGUUAUUACAUUUUAGCAAAAGGGUUAGGCUAUAAAGUUUUUACCACAUUUGUGCAGGAAGUGAUACGUCUGACACUUACAAGCACAACAACCAAAAACACUACAAAGUUGGUUUCUCUCAGUGAUCAAACAACUUCAAAUACCCUUACAAACUUUUUUAUUUUUAAAUCACUGAUUUAAUUUUUAAUUUUCUUCAAGACGCAACAAUGAGGGUACAGAUAUGGAAUGCUAACAUGAGGAAUGAGGAAAUUACACUUCUUUUUGUUUUCUUUUCUUUCUUUUUUUGCUAUCGCUACCCAUUUCUGAAUACAUAGACCACUUUUUCAAAAAUUCUUCAAAUGGUGAGCACAAAUGCAGUUUAUGUGGGAUAAAUCUGUGGAAAUUAUGUGGAAAUCUGUGCCAAAAUUAUUGUCACUCCUCCUCCUACAGUACAACACAACCCAAUCCAACUACCAAUCACCAACCUGAUACACGGAACUGAUCAGUUUUCACCUGACUACACACCAGAGAAAGACAUACAGAUCUUUCUUAUCCCUUCAGGAGUGCAGGGGAAAAAAACGGAAGAAACAUGGAUCACAAAAAUUCUCCAACAGAAGCAGGGCAGCCUUUACUUCCACUGCAGGAGGAUCCUCCAGAGUACUCCAGUCAUAGAUUCCCUCCUUCUGAGAUCUAUCCCAGCACUUCAGGUCAACCUGCCCAGCAGUAUGGAGCUCCGGCAGCACCUGGUCAGUGCAUCCAAAUGCCAUAUCCAGGGCAGACUGUGGUCACUGUGCAGCCUCCAGUUAAUGUGUCCUUCACUCCACUGGCCAAUCCACUGCCAGAUCACCUGUGCUAUUCCAUCUUUACCAUGCUGUGCUGCUGCUUACCUCUGGGAUCGGCUGCUCUUGUUUACUCCAUGACAACUCGAGAUGCUAACAUAUUUGGACACCAACCAAUAGCAAGCAGGAACUCCAGAAUGGCUCGCAUCCUUAACCAUGUCAGUGUUGGUGUUGGCCUCCUCGUCUGGUUGAUCAUUGUCGCUUAUUUCAUUCUUUUUAUCAUCACAGUUAGCUAACUAAGACCAUAAGUGUAAGAAAUAUCAUGGUAGGACAGCAGAAAGUUAUAGAUCAGGGGUCUCCAGACUUGGUCCUGGAGGCCCACUCCCCUGCGGAGUUUAGCUCCAACACACCUGAUUGAAAGUUUCUUCUAUGCCUAGUGAGACCUUGAUUAGCUGGUUCAGGUGUGUUUAAUUGGGGUUGGAGCUAAACUUUGCAGGACAGCAUCCCUCCAGGACCGAGUUUGGAGAUCUCUGUUAUAGAUAUAUAGGUGUUAUAGGUGAGGAUUUUACAAACACUAACACAUUAUAUUUUGAAUACACAGGCAUUUGGUGGUCUGCUUUUAAAUGUUAGUGUUGCUCAAGUUAUAAUUGAAAUGAGAGCUGUAUCCACCUAUAGGGCCAGCGAGGAAUGAUUCAGUAUAUUUCAUGUAACUCAUCUGCCUUGUCAUAAGACAUUUGUUUUUCUUCUUGUCUUGUUACAUCAUAAAACUUUGGGUAAUCAGUAAAUGUAUUUAACAUUA